AUGGAUAGUGGCAUUAGUCAUGGAAGUGAAGGUAAAAGAGACUGUAGCAUCAGUGAUGAAAGAGAUAGUUACAACAGUGAUUCUAGCAAUGAGAGUGAUAAUUACAGUACUGAAGAUUGCAAAACUGUUCAUAACAUAAAUUAUGAUUAUACUAAUAGCAUGGAUAGUAGCUUCAGCUAUGAAGAAGUUGAUGGUAAAGAUGACAGAGACAGUAGUCUCAGUGAUGAAAGUGAUAGUUACAACAGUGAUUCUAGUGAUAAUUACAGUACUGAAGAAUGCAAAACUGUUAUUCACAAAAAUUAUGAUGAUACUAUUAGCAUGGAUAGUGAUUUUAGCUAUGAAGAAGUUGAUGGUAAAGGAGACAGAGACAUUAGCAUCAGUGACAAAAGUGGCAAUUAUAACAGUGAUGAAGACUUUAAAACUGUUCAAGAGACUGUAAAUAACAGUGAUGCUAGUGACAAAAGUGAUUAUUACAGUACCGAAGACUGCAAAACUGUCAGUUGUGAAAAUGAAGAUGAAAAUAUUAACUAUGAAAUUGAUGGUAAAGGAGACAGAGACAUUAGCAUCAGUGACAAAAGUGUCAAUUAUAACAGUGAUGAAGACUUUAAAACUGCUCAAGACACAGUAAAUAACAGUGAUGCUAUUGACGAAAGUGAUUAUUACAGUACCGAAAACUGCAAAACUGUCAGUUGUGAAAAUGAAGAUGAAAAUAUUAGCUAUGAAAUUGAUGGCAAGGGAGAUGGAGACAUUAGCAUCAGUGACAAAAGUGUCAAUUAUAACAGUGAUGAAGACUUUAAAACUGUUCAAUACACAGUAAAUAACAGUGAUGCUAGUGACAAAAGUGAUUAUUACAGUACCGAAGACUGCAAAACUGUCAGUUGUGAAAAUGAAGAUGAAAAUAUUAACUAUGAAAUUGAUGGUAAAGGAGACAGAGACAUUAGCAUCAGUGACAAAAGUGUCAAUUAUAACAGUGAUGAAGACUUUAAAACUGCUCAAGACACAGUAAAUAACAGUGAUGCUAUUGACGAAAGUGAUUAUUACAGUACCGAAAACUGCAAAACUGUCAGUUGUGAAAAUGAAGAUGAAAAUAUUAGCUAUGAAAUUGAUGGCAAGGGAGAUGGAGACAUUAGCAUCAGUGACAAAAGUGUCAAUUAUAACAGUGAUGAAGACUUUAAAACUGUUCAAUACACAGUAAAUAACAGUGAUGCUAGUGAUGAGAGUGAUAAUUACAGUACUGAAGACUGCAAAACUGUUUAUAAUGAUGAUGAUACUAUUAGCAUGGAUAGUAGCUUUGACUAUGAAGAAGUUGAUGGUAAAGGAGACAGAGACAUUAACAUCAGGGACAAUUAUAACAGUGAUGAAGACUUUGAAACUGUCCAAGACACUGUAAAUAACAGUGAUGCUAGUGAUGAGAGUGAUAAUUACAGUACUGAAGACUGCAAAACUGUCAGUUGUGAAAAUGAAGAAGAAAAUAUUGACUAUGCAACUGAUGUUAAAGGAGGCCGAGACAUUAGCAUCAGUGACAAAAAUAGCUACAGCAGUAACAAAGACUUUAAAACAUUUUAUUAUGAAGGUCAUAUUGAAGACACUGACAGUGAGGUCAUUAGUGUUAGCUUUGAAAAUGCUGAUGAUGAAAAUAGCAAAGACAGUGAUGCUAGUGAUGGGAGUAAUAAUCAUAAGCUCUCAUAA
ensembl:lncRNA